AUGACCGAUUUAUUGCUGCGCUA
rnacentral:siRNA from 1 species